rnacentral:rRNA from 1 species
UACGUAGGGUGCAAGCGUUGUUCGGAAUCAUUGGGCGUAAAGCGCGUGUAGGCGGUCAGUUAAGUUGGGUGUGAAAUCCCUGGGCUCAACCGAGGAAGGGCAUCCAAAACUAGCUGGCUGGAAGAUGGUAGAGGAAGGUGGAAUUCCAAGUGUAGAGGUGAAAUUCGUAGAUAUUUGGAGGAAUACCGGUGGCGAAGGCGGCCUUCUGGACCAUUCUUGACGCUGAGACGCGAAAGCGUGGGGAGCAAAC